GACGAACGCUGGCGGCGUGCUUAACACAUGCAAGUCGAACGGAAAGGCUCCAGCUUGCUGGAGUACUCGAGUGGCGAACGGGUGAGUAACACGUGGGUAAUCUGCCCUGCACUCUGGGAUAAGCCUGGGAAACUGGGUCUAAUACUGGAUAUGACCUUUCUCCUUAUGGGGUUUGGUGGAACGUUUUUCGGUGUAGGAUUAGCCCGCGGCCUAUCAGCUUGUUGGUGGGGUGAUGGCCUACCAAGGCGACGACGGGUAGCCGGCCUGAGAGGGUGAUCGGCCACAUUGGGACUGAGAUACGGACCAGACUCCUACGGGAGGCAGCAGUGGGGAAUAUUGCACAAUGGGCGGAAGCCUGAUGCAGCGACGCCGCGUGAGGGAUGACGGCCUUCGGGUUGUAAACCUCUUUCAGCAGGGACGAAGCGUAAGUGACGGUACCUGCAGAAGAAGCACCGGCUAACUAUGUG
rnacentral:rRNA from 1 species